rnacentral:misc_RNA from 1 species
GAUGAAGAACGUAGCGAAAUGCGAUAAGUAAUGUGAAUUGCAGAAUUCAGUGAAUCAUCGAGUUUUUGAACGCAUAUUGCACCCUCUGGUAUUCCGGGGGGCAUGCCUGUUCGAGCGUCAUUAAAUAACCCUCAAGCAUAGCUUGGUGUUGGGCUUUUUUACGUCCUUGACUGGGAUGGGCCUAAAAAUUAGUGGCGAUGGCUUUUUUACUUUCAAGCGUAGUAAAUCUCGUCUUGCUAAAGAGGAAAAAGAUUUUUUUUCUGCCAAAAAUUUUAACAUUUAAAGUUGACCUCGGAUCAGGUAGGAUUACCCGCUGAACUUAAGCAUAUCAAUAAGCGGAGGA